rnacentral:rRNA from 1 species
GACGAACGCUGGCGGCGUGCUUAACACAUGCAAGUCGAACGGAAAGGCCCUGCUUUUGCGGGGUGCUCGUGUGGCGAACGGGUGAGUAACACGUGAGUAUCCUGCCCUUGACUUUGGGAUAACUUCAGGGAACUGGGGGUAAUACCGGAAAGGAGCUCCUGCUGCACUGUGGGGGUUGGAAAGCUUCGGCGGUUGGGGAUUGACUCGCGGCUUAUCAGCUUGUUGGUGGGGUAGUGGGUUACCAAGGCUUUGACGGGUAGCCGGCCUGAGAGGGUGACCGGCCACAGUAGCACUAAGAUAGGGCCCAGACGACUAUGGGGGGCAGCAGAGGUGAAUCUUGCGCAGUAGGCGGAAGGGUGAGGCGGCGGCUGCGCGUGCGGGAUGACCGCCUACGGGGUGAAAACCGCUUUCGCCGGAGCCGUACCGUUAUUGACGGUACUGGGUAAAAAAGCUCCGGCUAACUACGUG